AAAAUCCAACUGGAAAUUAAAUUUGGUUUCAAAGAUAAAGGGAAACCAAUAAAUUUUAUUUUGUUUUUUAGAUGUUGUGAUAAACUGGAGACCUAAUCAGAGGGCAACACCAGCCCCCCCAUGGAUGGAUGGAUGGAUGGAUGGAUGACUGUGCUGGAUGCUUAAUGGAUGAUUUUCCAGCACAUCCUUCAGCCGCACUGCAUCCUGGUCCUCCCCCUGCAGCAGACUCUUCCCUCUGGGGGUUGGAAAGGAUCAGUGUAAUAUCUGGCCACCAGCUGUUGCUGCUUCCUCCGCUCGCUGCGCUUUGUCAGCGCUCCGGUGAAAGGCGGAGCGCCGAGGGAGCUUUACCGCCAGCAGGUGACUGAUGUCCGCCUGAAAUGUCAGGCCUCACCGGCAGCCACAUCCAGACUCACCUCAAGACAAGCUCCGCCAUGCUGGAGGCGGGCUGCUCUAAAUGAAACGAUCCCUCAGACUUAGAAAACCCUGAUCUUCUACCAACCUGAGUUCGUCUCUGAAGCUUCAAAAAUAUCUCUUCUGCUCCUCUAGGGGGGGAACUCUUUUCCAUCUUUAGAUGUUGACUUUAUUUAAUGUAUCUCCAUUCAUAAUGUUUGUGCCCUUUUCCCCCUUUCAUCAGUUUAAAUAAUACAACAGUCAGACCUUCAAAGAGUUGCGUUCUGAUGCAACCCGCAGCAACGGUCCAGUUAAAGCCAGAAUCUCUCGUCUCUGCGGCGUCCAGAGCCAGCGCCGGGUUUCAUCACUGCUUGUUGCUAACCUUGUUUAUCUUUAAAGAAAACGUUCUUCUGAAGAUCCAAACCAGCGCAUUACACUGUAAAAAAUUAACAGCAAUAUUUUGGUUUAUUUAGCCUGUCAGAGAAAAAAUAACUUUUCAGACAUAUUUUCACCACGUUGUUCAUACAUUUAAAAAUGUCAGAGUAAAUAUUUAAUUCACAAGAGAAAUAUUUAUUUUACAAACUUUAGCUUUCACAUUAAAUAUUUAACAACUAAGCUAGAUAUUUAGUUUGAAAAAUGAGUAGCUAGUUUAGAAGUAAAUAUUAAGUUAAAAAAUAAAUAUUUAAUUUGAAACCAGAAUUUUGGUUGAAAAG